GCCGAGCCUAGCUAUGGCCAGCGAAGAGCCGGACACCUUCACCGGCCUGGCAGCGGCUUCCGAUUGAAGG
rnacentral:sRNA from 20 species